GUCGUAGUUCAGUUGGUUAGUUCUCCGGCCUGUCACACCGGAGGUCCCGGGUUCGAGCCCGUUGGC
rnacentral:tRNA from 1 species